AACGCGAAGAACCUUACCUGGGCUCGAAAUGCAGAGGGAGAUACCAGAAAUGGUAUCGUCCGCAAGGACUUCUGUAUAGGUGCUGCAUGGCUGUCGUCAGCUCGUGCCGUGAGGUGUUUGGUUAAGUCCCGCAACGAGCGCAACCCUUGUCCUUAGUUGCCAGCAUUCAGUUGGGAACUCUAAGGAGACCGCCGGUGACAAACCGGAGGAAGGUGGGGAUGACGUCAAGUCAUCAUGGCCUUUAUGACCAGGGCUACACACGUGCUACAAUGGUAGAUACAGAGGGAAGCCAACGCGCGAGCGGGAGCCAAUCCCAGAAAAUCUAUCGUAGUCCGGAUCGGAGUCUGCAACUCGACUCCGUGAAGUCGGAAUCGCUAGUAAUCGCAGAUCAGCAUUGCUGCGGUGAAUACGUUCCCGGGCCUUGUACACACCGACAUA
rnacentral:rRNA from 1 species